AAUAGAUACCCAGGUAGUCCACGCCCUAAACGAUGUCAACUGGUUGUUGGGGAAGGUUCCUUCUCAGUAACGAAGCUAACGCGUGAAGUUGACCGCCUGGGGAGUACGGGCCGCAAGGUUGAAACUCAAAGGAAUUGACGGGGACCCGCACGAAGCGGUGGAUGAUGUGGUUUAAUUCGAUGCAACGCGAAAAACCUUACCUACCCUUGACAUGUCUGGAAUCCUGAAGAGAUUUGGGAGUGCUCGAAAGAGAACCAGAACACAGGUGCUGCAUGGCCGUCGUCAGCUCGUGUCGUGAGAUGUUGGGUUAAGUCCCGCAACGAGCGCAACCCUUGUCAUUAGUUGCUACGAAAGGGCACUCUAAUGAGACUGCCGGUGACAAACCGGAGGAAGGUGGGGAUGACGUCAGGUCCUCAUGGCCCUUAUGGGUAGGGCUACACACGUCAUACAAUGGCCGGUACAGAGGGCUGCCAAAGCGCGAGCUGGAGCCAAUCCCAGAAAACCGGUCGUAGUCCGGAUCGCAGUCUGCAA
rnacentral:rRNA from 1 species